rnacentral:rRNA from 1 species
GAUGAACGCUGGCGGCGUGCCUAAUACAUGCAAGUCGAGCGAACGGACGAGAAGCUUGCGUCUCUGAUGUUAGCGGCGGGCGGGUGAGUAACACGUGCAUAACCUACUUCUAAGACGGGGAUAACUUCGGGAAACCGCAGCUACUACUGGAUAAUAUUUUCAACCGCAUGGUUCAAAAGUGAAUGACGGUUUUGCUGUCUCUAAUAGAUGGAUCCGCGCUGCAUUAGCUAGUUGGUAAGGUAACGGCUUACCAAGGCGACGAUGCAUAGCCGACCUGAGAGGGUGAUCGGCCACACUGGAACUGAGACACGGUCCAGACUCCUACGGGAGGCAGCAGUAGGGAAUCUUCCGCAAUGGGCGAAAGCCUGACGGAGCAACGCCGCGUGAGUGAUGAAGGUCUUCGGAUCGUAAAACUCUGUUAUUAGGGAAGAACAGAUGUGUAAGUAACUGUGCACAUCUUGACGGUACCUAAUCAGAAAGCCACGGCUAACUACGUG